rnacentral:rRNA from 1 species
UGGGGAAUAUUGCGCAAUGGGGGCAACCCUGACGCAGCAACGCCGCGUGCGGGACGACGGCCAUCGGGUUGUAAACCGCUUUCAGCAGGGAAGAUAGUGACGGUACCUGCACAAGAAGCCCCGGCUAACUACGUGCCAGCAGCCGCGGUAAUACGUAGGGGGCGAGCGUUAUCCGGAUUCAUUGGGCGUAAAGCGCGCGCAGGCGGCUCUUCAAGCGGAACCUCUAACCCCGGGGCUCAACCUCGGGCCGGGUUCCGAACUGGAGGGCUCGAGUGCGGUAGAGGCAGGCGGAAUUCCCGGUGUAGCGGUGGAAUGCGCAGAUAUCGGGAAGAACACCGAUGGCGAAGGCAGCCUGCUGGGCCGGCACUGACGCUGAGGCGCGAAAGCUAGGGGAGCGAACAGG